UACGUAGGUGGCAAACGUUGUUCGGAAUUACUGGGCAUAAAGAGUUUGUAGGCGGCUUAAUAAGUCAGAUGUGAAAUCCCGGGGCUCAACUUCGGAACUGCAUUUGAUACUGUUAGGCUAGAAUAAUGGAGAGGUUAGUAGAAUUCAUGGUGUAGCGGUGAAAUGCGUUGAUAUCAUGGAGAAUACCAAUGGCGAAGGCAGCUGACUGGCCAAUUAUUGACGCUGAGAAACGAAAGCUAGGGUAGCGAAAGGG
rnacentral:rRNA from 1 species